UAUACGAGAAACCCCGCUGUCGGAGGGGAAAGGACUUUAAAUAUAUAUAUCCUUCUAAAAUGUGGCAUCUCGAGUAUUUGAAUCUAUCAAGAGGCUCGCAAUUUGGUGAUCCAACUGGGAUAACAAUUUUUUGGAGUUUUAAUUGAGAAUUGUUCUCAAAUAUUUCAGACAGUGUUUGAGAAUAUGAUGGAAUGCGAGAGGAAGGAAAAAGAGGGAGAAGAAAGUGCAGCUGCUAGUGGGUUCUAGAAGAACUAGCUCA
rnacentral:lncRNA from 1 species